AAUCAAUGUUAAAUUUAACCCAAAAAAAUCGUAUCGUCCCUACCGCACGAGAGAGUCUUCUGUCUCUCUACAAACCCCCAAACCCCAACAAACACAAGCUAAACCUUCUCAAUCCCUCUCUUUCGCGACCCAGAAAUGGCCGCCACAGCCUCCUCCUCAUAAACCCAUUCACCUUGUUCCUCCUCUUCUUUCGCAGAUUCUUUCUCUUUGGGUUUUGUUUUUGUCGGAGAGUUUGAUUUGGGAAUCCGAUCUUUUUCUUCAUCGAUCUUCAGUACCGGUUGUUUGGGGGUUUCUUUUCGGGUGAAAGUUAGGGUUUUAGGGUUUGGUUUUACUGCAAUCUUACCGGACCAGAAAAAACUCGAACUAUAGAUACAAGCCCUGUCGUAAAAAUUUGAUCUUUUUAUUGUUUAGGUUAAACUUCCUUAGGCUUGGAUUGUCGUGGGUCAGCUAGAAAUUUUCCGAGCAAAUCACAUGAUUAUUAGAUUCAUAGAAGAAAAUCUUGGAUGGGAUGAUAUUCAACUAUAUUAAUUACUGCAAUUUUGAUUUUUUUUUUGAAACAAACUGCAAUUUUUAUUUGGUUAUAGAAGAUUUCUACAUUUGAUUUACUUUGAAUUUAAAUGUUCCUGGUUUUUAGGAUUCAGACUGUAUUAACUAAUAACAUGUGAGUUAUUGAAUAGACUUAAAUAUUUUCUAUGGUUUCAGAUUGUUCACUGCAUGGAACUCUUAGGACUACAAUGACAGCCAACAAUGGACUUGUUGGAGGAGUGGAAAUUCUUGUUUCCAAUCUCGGCGAUCUUCGGAGUCUCCGUCGCUUCUCUGGAGCCCUUCCACUAAACCCAUUUUCUUCCAUUACCUGGAUGAGCUAUUUGAACAAAAGGGUGAGGUUGCCAAAUUUGUGUCAGAUGAACUUGAGAAGGCUAUAUUAAAGAUAAUCAAGCAUUGCAAGGAGUUUAACUCAUUCAUAUUUGGUUUUGUUUAUUUGAGUGUCUUGGGAAAAAAGGAUUAUGGAUUAUUUGGGGUGAUUGGGAGUGGGGUCAUUCGAUUUUAUUCCCUCGAUUGGAGUCGACGAUUGACGGCAUAAAGAACGUUUUGGAUUCUCCCAAUCGACGAUUUUUCUUUUUUUCAGAUUCGUGUGUUUGAUGAUGAUGUUGUGGAGAGCUCAGAAGUCACAACAGGUGUUACCAAAAAUGUGGUAAUUUUUAAGGUUGAAAAAUAUGGUGCAACAGUUUCAGGAAGUAUAAGUUGCAUUCUUGUAAUUUUUGAAAUGAUUUCUUUAGUUUAGUUAUUAAUCUGAUGGCUUUUUAUGAUUGUUAAGCUUGGAGAAUCGUUCAAUCAAUAUAGGGAAUGAUUGCUUUCAUCAUAUUUUCUACUAAUCUAGGGAGCUUUGAUCUUUGCCAAAGUGAGAUUCAGGGAAAAUUAGUAAUGGUUCAAGUCAACAUGUGGACACAAUAAAAAUGAAAUGGCAAAGAAAUAGAUUAGUCCCAACAAGCAUUGUUGGAAUAUAUAGUGAAACCAACCAAUGGAUGAAAAUGCGGAAUAAUAGUCGAAUUUCGUCAUUAGCUAUGAGACCACGUGCUUCAAUGGCUGCACCGAAAAUUCAGCCACUGAGUAAAUUUGUCUCUAACAUCCGAAUCAUGGUAAAUGGUUGUACUGGAAAAAGAGGUCAGGCUGUUAUUAAUGCAGCAGAUUCUGCUGGUCUUAACAUUGUUCCUGUAUCAUUUGGCUCUAAAGAAUAGUCUGGGACGAUUGUGCAAGUUUGUGGGAAAGAUAUCACGGUGCAAGGCCCUUCUAAAAGAGAAAGCACUCUGGCCUCUCUUUAUACUGAGUAUCCAAAUUUGAUUGUUGUGGAUUACACUGUGCCUGCAGCAGUCAAUGUAAUAUGACUUUCGGUGUAAUUAUACGUGUGGAAAGUGAAGCAUUUCAGUAUCUGUGAAAGAUGUUGUUAGGAUUGUCGAGGGACCUUGCAGAGUGAGAUCUCUAUAUCUUUGGCUUCUUUAUCUGCUUGCAAGAUUUGGGAUGAAUUCAUGUAAUCUGAUAAUUGUUGUUGUCAGACCAGGGAAAACAAGGUCCAGUUGAACAAAUAUACAAGGGUGUUCUAUUCAUCUAUCACCGCCACCACCUUGAGCAUGCUGGUUUUAUUUGUGCCAAGUCUUAGUCUUGUGUUGUUAUGGGAGGAUCACGUUCAAAUGGUUGAGCAAAAUGAUUAGCAGUUUUGAUAUGAUCCUGCUAAAUGUUGGAAUGGGGAUACAAAUCAAACUUUCCGCUAUUGGAAGAUACGUGACUAUGCUCAUACUUAUCCCUUAAGGAUUACAACACCAUCUACAUGGAGCUGGUGUUACUUCGCUAAAAAUAAUGUAUCAUUAUUUAAGGAGAUAUACGUUGGGUUGUCUUGGCACCCUUGACUCGACAAAGGUCAUACAACAAUGUCCCUCAGCCACAUGCCAUUUUGUACUACUCCCAAAGAACCUCCAAUGGGGGUCUUCUCAUUUCAGAAGCAACUGGAGUUUCUGAUACUGCUCAAGGGUACCCUGAUACACCUUGUAUUUAGACAAAAGAGCAUGUUGAAGCUUGGAAGCCUCUUGUUGAUGGUGUUCACGCUAAAGGUGGUGUCUUUUUCUGUCAGAUUUGGCAUGUGGGCAGAGUUUCAAAUGCAGGAUCUACAAGAGGUGAUUCAUAAGAGAAGUACGUAAUUGUUAAUAUUCAUUUGUUUGGUCAAAAUUAAUUUUCACUUGUAACAAUUGUUAAUUAUAUGAUUUCUAAUUAGUUUGGUCUAUUAGUUAUAAAAUUUUGAGAGGUUUACCUAUUAAGAAG